UAUAAGUACGUUAUGGAUAGUUUGACUUACAAGUCCCAGUAUUACACGUAUAGUUUUAAAGUUAUACAGUUAUUGAACAGUGUUCCUUGCCUAAUAAGUUUCUAAGCACCAGUUAUGAAUAAAACAGGGGUUUUCUUAUAUCUAUUUAUAACUGGUUUUCUGAUUUAUACUACUUCCAUAUCGGAAGCCCAAGUGGCAAAAAGAAGUCCUCAGCAGACGUGUUGCAGAAAUGGAGUUUGUGUAAUUUGCAGCGACCCACCAUCUCAAGCUUGUAUUAACUGUAUGAGACACAGGGGAAAGUAGUCUGCUAUAAUCAACAAAUGUGUGAUGCUGACUUUCAAGGGAUUUUAAUAAUGAAUAAUAAAAUAUAAUUUGAUUUUUUCUCAACAAACGCAUUUAUAAGCCAUGAAUACCUUAAAUACAAUGCUUUAUUAUGGGGCA